rnacentral:lncRNA from 1 species
CUCAGGCUGCCGUGGCGGAAUGGUGGAGGAACCCGUGGAUCCGACCGCUCCCGUUGUUGCUACAAGUUGAGGUGAGAAGGGUGGCGGCGGAUCUCCAGACAGGAAAGCGUUGUUGGUUUGGGGGAGGCCAUGAGGAAGCACUGUUGUAGCCCCACCCAUCGCCCCCUUGUCAGCAACUGCGCCGCUCUUGCCGCUUGCAGACACCGGACCUUCGUGGCGGCGUUCUCCUGGAUACGGUGGUGCACGGAGGGGGAGGACGCGGUGGCCGGGUCGCGCUCCACAGUGAGCCUAGGCGGCGACAUCUAUGAGUGGGUGAGCGCAAGUGGGUUGAGGGGUGGUGGCCAGGUGAGGCAAUAAGGGCUGCGCGGAUCUGAGCUAAGAAGGAAGAGAGAGGUGAAGGGGAAGGGAGAGGAGUUAGGGUUUCAGAUUGCUAUCGGUCGGGAUCUUUUUUAUGCUAGUUGAGAUCAAUCUGGAUUGUCGUUUUUUAGAUAAUCGGUUAGGAGGAGCUGGGCCUUGGAAGAAACUGCCCAAGACAAGAUAUUUCGGCCCGUUUAACAAAAUCAGCAUGUUUAUUGUUUAAACAGAAAUACAUUUAAAUUAAAAAAUUUGUUAUGAGGAGCAAAAUUUCCAAGCAGAAGCAAAAUUUUAAUUUUGUUGAGAUUUUGAAUUUAAUGAAAUGUAUUAUAUCCAUGAACUUUUCACAUCGUAUGAAAUGUAAUUAAAUAUCAUGGUUUGUAUACAUGGUUUAACUUUCC